AUAAAAUAGCUUAGCUGGUAAACCCAUGUGCUAUUUGCAGACGAAAAGCGACAUGCAGACGACUAUUUCUUAAGCUUUAAGUAGUAAAAUUCGUGCUCGAUGAUUGUUAUAAAUAAGAUGAUAUAAGAGAAAACAUUUUGAAAAUCAUACACAGGAUAAUAUCUCUUCAUGCCCGAACAUAGGAUGGAGGCGGGGAAUCCACCGUUUGACGAAGUUUUAGGUACUUACAAAAUGGAGGACGAACUACGUGUGACGGGUCACUCGCCCCAAUCUGACGUGAACGAGGAUUAUCCGCUCUCACACGGAUGGGUGCCUUCCCACCAGCAGUACAGCAAGGGGCUGCACCCCCUCGGUGACCCUAUUGGGCUCUCAGACGACAGCCGCAGUAGCUCCGAUCUCACCGAGAUGAAGACGGCGUCCCCCGCGACCGCCCUUGCAGCCGUCACCUACGAGACCGGCUCGCACAGCCUCACGAGCCACUCGCCGCAGGCAUACCAUCACACGGGAAUCAUCAACAGUCCGAUCGCAAUUCACCCUGCAUGUUCACCGGUUCCUCCCCUCGGUUGCAAUGACAAUAAUAGUAACGCGCCGGUCGACUGUCAGACCAUGUAUUAUUCAUCAUAUGACAAUGCGCCGACGUCAGUGUGCCCACAGAAUCAGCCAUAUGAGUACCCAUACUACAUAACAGGAACCGGCUUCUACCAAGGAUCGCCCGACAGCUCAACCGGAAGUUACCCUGACAACUCCCCGCCCGGAUAUGACAGCGAGGACAGCGUAGAACUCCCGAAUAUGGCGACCACUUGCAUGCAAAGCCCACAUCCACAUAUCUAUUCUCAAUUCAACACCGGAAGUCUCGUCUACAACAACAUCCCGUGCAUGGACAAGCUAGACUCAGAUAAGUCCCCCAACAAGCGGGGCCGUCCCUGCACGUUCCUGAAGAGAAGUCAUCAGAAGCACGCCGCCUUGUCAAAGAUGUCUUACAUGGACUCGACCCCCGACGACGACCUGGGCGGAUCAUACAAUCAAAACCAGCGCUGUAAGCGAGGCGCUAAGAACAUCCUGCUGUGGAAGUUCCUGCUGGAGGAGUUGCGGAAUUCGGGGGUGCGGAGUGCGCACAUCAAGUGGGAGAACGAGCAGGAAGGCACCUUCAAGUUCGUUGACACGACGGAGUGCUCCAGGCGUUGGGGGCAGAUGAAAAAGAAGGCCGACAUGAACUUCGAAAAGCUUAGUCGUGGCAUUAGGCAUUACUACCGCGACGGACUCAUGUCCAGAAAAGACGGCAUUCGAUUGGUGUACAAGUUCAACUGGGAGCACGUGCCGCUCAAAUAUAGGCCAACUGGACAAGUCCGAUACAUGUGAACUCAUAGGGCACUAUGUUAUGAUGCCGUUGGCUUCAUCUUAACAUGAGACUGUGCUGCUAACGGGAUGUGUCGAAACUAUAGCAACCAUUCCCAUUAAAUCGUGUUCCGUCAUAUGCAGACUUUUUGUCAAAGGAACCAGUGCCAUACUAAAGCAAUGUUUUAUUCUUUAAUUGUAUUGUAGUGUUAUGUUUUGAAACAAAAUUGCAAUGUUAUUUAAUUGUAACAGUUCAUGUUGCUACUAAACGUUCAUUUGGUUAAAAAAAACAUUGUAAUCAGUUUUAAACAAGGUUUCAAUUGUUCAGAUGUUGCAAUAUACGCUUUGACAACUGCUCAUUAUGUUGUUGAGAGCUUAAAUCGACAACCCACUUAUCAUUUAAGUGUAUUCAUUGUUAUGAAUAGAGUAUCCAUGGUCACCAUGUUUGUAGCUGUUUACUCGUAAAAGUUUAUUUCCAAAAAACAAUUACAACAAAACACUUGUAGGUUAAGAGCAACCAUAAAGUCUUACCAAGCCCUUACCCACAACCUAAUAAUUUGUUAUUGUACAUAUAAUACUCUUUGUUUAUUAGGAUGGUAUUAGCUUUUAGGUUGAUAUAAUUUUCCACAUAUUAAUUGCAAUAUUGUCAUAAAACUGAAAACAACACUAUUUUACGGGAAUAAAUUAGGCAUUUUGUAAAACAUUUUUAAUGCGAUUGAGGAAGACUCGUCAACAAAACGGAAUUUAUAAAAAGUCAAAUGUAUGGGUUCUGAAUGUUAUUUAGCUCCUUUAUAAACACUUAAAUUAAUAGUUCAUUUUGAAAGAAAGUCGGAAAAUUGGAUUUUCGUCAAUUUGUUAACAGGACCCUUACAGGUGCUUAAAAUGCUUGAAAACAACCGGGGAAUCAGAAAAAUGUAUCAAUUUUGAUCGAGCCUAUUGGCCAUAACAGAAGGAUAGCAUUUAAGAAUCAUGUUUUAUUUUAAAAUAUAUAAUUUAUGUUAUCCUUAAUUAGAAUAAUUUAAAUUUGAAAAUUAAUAAUUAUAGACUUGUUGAACUAAUUGCCUUGCUAUACCUUCCAACUGAUUAGUCCAAAGAUCUAUUCCUUACAUAUCGCAUCUUAUUGAAGCAGUUCUGAUGUAACCUAACCUUUUGAGGACUGAUGAAAACAAGUUAUAUCCUCAAGUAACUAAACUUUAUGUAGAUCUCUACACAUUUUGGUAAUAUUCUAUGCAACACAUGUACCGCUUCAUAGUCUCAGCAAAUACAUAUAUAUUUUAAUAUACUUCUAUAGUUUUUUUAUACUAUUUUUUAGUUUGAAAAUAAGAUGUGUAUAUAAAAUUAUUUUAGAUAAUAUAUAUUUCUGUCAAAGUAUUUAUUUUUGUUUUGCAUUGAUCAUUCUAUGUAUGACUAUUUAUGUCGUUCCAACUUUUGUCUGCUUUUUGACUUGUUCAUUAGCUUGAUAUUGGCGUAAUUAUCAGUCAAAACCUAUUUAUUAAUGUAUACAUGUAUGAUGCAUUUUUGUUUAACUUAUGAUAUUUAUAAACGCUUUUAGUGUUUUCACGUGCAUUAAAUGCAGCUAAAUGUAAUGUCGGAAAAGUAUUCAACUGUUGUUUUCGAUAUGUAUAUGUUUUACAAGAGAUAACAGCUCCCCAUGGUGAGAAAAAACAAACCGGGCCAUUUUUUAUUGUUUCUCUUUUCGAAAUUGUAUAUACUAUAAUUUGGUUCUAUUAUGGAAUUUAUUACAAUGUCAACAUUGAAUAAAUUAUAUACAGUUUUUUAAACCAAAUUAUUUCCAUUUAUUUAUUAAUAAACUUCAUUUGUUUAAAAUAUUUGUAAAUAAAACAUGAAGUUUUUUUAACAAGGUAACAAGUCAGACUUGUGCAUAUAAAUAACUUAACAAAACUACAUGUACUUAAACCGGAGUUUUGAUCUUUGCGUGCAGUAAUGUGAACACUCUACGCGAUCAUUCAAUUGUCACUAAAUAUUUCUACAUUAUAAUACCUCCCACUUUAGAUAUUGUGUUUUAAAACGCAGUAUAGUUUACAACCACUGAACUAACGCACUAUCUUAGCGUCAGGUUGAGUCAUGGGUAUUUCGGGACCAAACUACUUGUGAGCGAUUUAUCCGUCUGUGAUUUGAUAAAAUGCACUUCUUUAAUGUAAUUAUAUUUUUUUGCAAUGCGCGAUGCAAGUCGUGUCUAUUUUUGGCAAAUGUUUGACGUUUGGUUCGUUUCGGGAAACCUUUCUGAGACUUCAAUAACAUCACCAUUUGCUAUAUUUGCUGAAUCUCGCUGUGCUCGUGUGGUUUUAAACACAUAAAAUUUAAUGUUACGUCAGGAUGAAAUUAUUAUAACUAUUCUCUUACCUACAUUUUUAUCAUUUCAUGUAUCUUUUAAGAUGCUUAUGUUUGUUCAUUUGUUGAUGUUUUUUUUAACUAAUUUUAAUGUAAAUAUAAUGCUGUAUUUGGCAUACAUUUUGGAAUCAUUAUGUAAAAUAAUGCAAUGCAUCUUAGAGGACCUUAAAUACUUAUGCUCACUUUCGCAUGAACGACACUUUCCGCUCGAUGCUAUUUUGAGUUUCGAGGAAGUCCCUCCUUACCGAAAAUCAAGUUCAGGCGGAAAGUGUCGUCCCUGAUUAGCUUGUGCGGACUACACAGGCUAAUCUGGAACGACACUUUUCGCACAUGCAUUAUGCCCAGUUUUGGAAAUUUUCGUUUUAAAAUAGUCUAAUCUAAAUGAAAAUACUGUCUACGCGGAAAGUGUCGUCCCGGAUAAGCCUGUGCGGACUGCACCGGCUAAUAUGGGACGACACUUUGCGCAUAUGCAUUAAAACCUGUUUUGCAAUAGUUUUUUUUAUUUGUAAUUUGAUGUUUAAUGGGACUGGUUUUUUAAUGUAAUCCCUGUGUGGAGUAAAACCAAUCGAGCUUUUUAAAACCGAAAACUCUUGGAAAUACCCUGGGAUUUGAUAGGGGGCUUUCGACAUGACUAGCUUUUAAUACAUGUGCAAUGUGUGAUUGCCAGUCGCUGUCGGGGCUCGAUAUCGUUGCUCUCACCUAACAUGCCGUCCAGACUGGUGUCAGUAAUACAACACUGUUAUGUAUUGUCAAAUUUGUAUUCAUGUUUCCAGAUAUGAUAAUGAUAUACUGAUACAAUGCCAGAAUAAUAAUAAUAGUAAUAAUAAUAAUAAUAAUAUUAAUAAUAAUAUUAAUAUAAUAAUAAUAAUAAUAAUAAUAAUAAUAAUAAUCAUAAUAAUAAUAAUAAUCAUAAUAAUCAAAAUAAUAAUACUAUGCAGAACAUGUUUUCUGUGUCUAUUUUCUUUCGUAUUUCAAGUCUCAUUCAUGUAAUUGCAGUGUUAUGUAAUACAUGUACCUUUGUUAUACUGAUGUUAUCAUGUGCUUACAAUCUACUACUUUCUGGUGCUUGUUUUUGUUGUAUUUAACAAUUUCCGUAGGUCGGAUAUAUGCAAUAUUUGUUAAAAUACUUUGAAAUGUAUGUGUUCAUAUAUAUCGACAAUUGUGUUCAUUGAUUUACCUACUAAUACUUCAACAGAUGUUAUUUUGCAAAAUUAUUUGUAUUAAAAUUUUGUUAAAAAAGUAUUUGUUAUUUUUAAUAUGUAUAUAGUUUAUGACAUAUUUGAAUAAAAAUAUAGUUAAAUAUGA